UACAUGUAUGUUUUUUUCAAAUCGUAAGAAAAGGGGGUAAUGAAGUUAAGUACUAAGAUUUCCCACACACUGUGAAUGCACCGCACCUGCACAGUUGCGCUGCUCACAGCUCCUCCCUGCUCAGACCAAACGCACUUUCUUCCACGGCAUCUAUCUGCAUAGAGCAAGAGGCACCAGAUGUUGUAGGAGUUCAGUCCUGAAAUCCGUUGAGCUGAGGAGUUUUUUGUUGUUGUUGAAGAAUCCUGGUGAGUCUUGUGAAGCAAGUGUUUUUUUUGCUAUGUAAAACCAGUCAGGUUAUGAGCUUUUGUUAGAAACAUGACUACAAUUGCUGUUCAUGGUUUAUGAGGUGAAUUGGCAUGGUAAGAAGUAAGCUAACUCACCACAUGUGCUCUUCUAAAAAAAAAACAUGUACUUUUGUGUGAGGUUUAAGCUAGCUGCACCAUGUGUGGUGUUGCUGUAGGUCAUAAUGUAACUUACCCUUUUGCAGGUCUCCUAGAUUUAUUUUGAAAGAUAAGAAUACUUAUUACAGGCCUUAAUAGCUGCAUAUACAGUAAAAGACAAGUUGGAACUGAUAAUUUUCUUUUCUUUUCUGUAUUUAUUUUGUUUUGUUUUCUGUACAAUGUGAUUAAAACAAUUUAAUUUAGGGUGAUUACA